rnacentral:lncRNA from 1 species
AUCUUGCAAGUUUCGAAUGCUCCAAUAGCAACUCCAUCUGAUGAAUAUCCAUGCAUUCUCCUUGCUUUACUUGGCCGAUGCACUUGUAACAAUAUCACUUCCAACGUACCAAUGUUGCCUUUUCGAUCAUCUACUUCACUCGGCCCUUUGCAUUUGAAAUCCUUCCAAUACCUUUGAAACUCCUUUGUGUCCUCGGGAAUCACAAAGUCAAUUUAUGGCAAACAAAAGAAAUCCAGUUGAAGCUCAAUUCCUGGACGGGUGGUAUUCCAAUAGGAUUGUGUUCUGGAAUCAAGUUUUUGACAACCUGCAAAAUAGAAUUAGCCAAACUAGGGAGGGAAUUGUUAAUUUUCACCACGGCCUCCUCAACUUCAAGCUUCCUUUCAAUUAAACUCACUUCCAACUCCUCCUUCCCUUUCGAAGACUCUUCUUCAUUUUCUUUCUGCAGAUCCACUUUCACUUUUGGAUUUUCAUUCUCAACUUCUUUUUCACUCUCUUGUGGUCUUUCUCUUUUUACCUCACAACUAACCACCUCACAAUUUUCUCUCUUACACUUUUGUUAUUCCAUGUGAGUUUUCUGAGAGUUAAUCAAGUCACAAAUCUCUAAGAGUUCACGCUUAUAAUCUAACCCAGUCCUCCUGCUAGAUGUAUGAUCAAUAUGCUUCACAAUCGAGAUAUUUUCUCUUCCUUUGAAUACCCAACUCCACUAUAUCUUCUAAGCUCCUCUCUAGAUUUCUGCUCAUGCCGGUCCCGCUUAUAAAAAUAAUUAGGUGCAUAUCGCUUCCUCAUUAUAGUCCUCAAUUCAUCCAAAGUUUCAAUGCGCCUCUCUCCGUUCCUCCACUUAGAUUUUGUUAACUGAUCCCACCAAGUAAUUUCAUAAUCCACAAACGUGUUCACAACUAACUUUAAUUUUCUCUCCCUAAAGUAAUUAUGGCAAUCAAACAUUAAUUCAGCCCGUUCUUCCCAUGCCAAGUAUGCUUCGGGAUCGUUUCUA